GGAGGCAGCAGUGGGGAAUAUUGCACAAUGGGCGCAAGCCUGAUGCAGCCAUGCCGCGUGUGUGAAGAAGGCCUUCGGGUUGUAAAGCACUUUCAGCGGGGAGGAAGGCGGUGAGGUUAAUAACCUCAUCGAUUGACGUUACCCGCAGAAGAAGCACCGGCUAACUCCGUGCCAGCAGCCGCGGUAAUACGGAGGGUGCAAGCGUUAAUCGGAAUUACUGGGCGUAAAGCGCACGCAGGCGGUCUGUCAAGUCGG
rnacentral:rRNA from 1 species